AAUAACUCGACACUUCAUCACACUCUCAGUUUCGUGUUGACACUGAACUUCACCUUCAUUUUCGUCUCAUUCAGUGCUAGUGUUUUCCGUGUUUACUUUUUCUUUCAGUGUUUUCAGGUUGGUGUUCCUCCGGGACAUGUUUCCUAUCAGUGGUGUGAGUAAACAGAGGCCUGGGACGGGUAGACGGAGAGGCAAGUCUCGUAGCACCUGCUGCCGGUGUAACCUAGCUGUAAAUAGAUACCUUAGUGUUAGUCGAGCGUCGUUGGUCACAUCCUUGGCAGGACCUUAAGAUCUCAGUAAAAAUAAUUCACACUGUUUGACUUUCUGGAGUUAUCUUGAGCUAUUAACCCUCGGGGGUUGUUAAUAUAAACAUGAUCAACUUCUAUUAGCGUAGGUUAGUUUUCUUAGUUCAGUCUCGCAUUCCACACCGUUUUCUUCAUUCAUACAGAGAGAGAAGGCCGUCAGAUAAGCCUGCGACACUAAUCAAUGCUAGCCUGCAGGUUGCAGCAGCGGGCGGCUACUGCACAGCACUCACACCAGACACUAUCUUCUCUUCCUGUAAGCGGUGAAGGCGUCAUAGAGCGUCUGGGGAAGAGUGAUGCUCUUAUACCACAAGUCGGGCAGCCAUCAGUAAUCAAGGAUCCACUUGUAACUUUAAGAUCUUGGUUGGGUUGUGAAUCCCUUCAAGUGUGAAAUUGUUGAUGUGCCAGAAGAUCCUGAAGGACUGGCAGAGGCACUUCUUGAACUUCGCUCCAACAAUAAAGCAUUGAAUUUCAGAACAAUUCACACCUGUCCAUUUUUUGGAUGUCAAGGUUGAUAAAUGAAUAGGACUGACCACUUCGAGGUCGUCAUAAGCGGGCCAUCGCCCACAACCAGCCUUGGUGGGUAUUUAGACGGCUCUUCGAGGAUAGAACCCUCGAGAGAGGCUGUGAGUGGAUCUAGAGCCGUCAACAUCAAAAGAUGA